rnacentral:rRNA from 1 species
GAUGAACGCUAGCGGCAGGCUUAAUACAUGCAAGUCGAACGGUAAGGUCCAGCUUGCUGGAUACACGAGUGGCGAACGGGUGCGUAACGCGUAUGCAACCUACCUUUCACUGGGAGAUAGCCCCGAGAAAUCGGGAUUAAUAUCCCAUAACAUUACGAACAGGCAUCUGUUUGUGAUCAAAGCUCCGGCGGUGAUUGAUGGGCAUGCGUGACAUUAGCUUGUUGGUGAGGUAACGGCUCACCAAGGCAACGAUGUCUAGGGGUCCUGAGAGGGUGAUCCCCCACACUGGUACUGAGACACGGACCAG